rnacentral:lncRNA from 1 species
UCAUCCUUCUCAUAUUUGGUUGCUGCUGCAGCAGUAGCCUAUUGUUCUUAGUUGCAGAAUUCCACCACUACUGCUACAUCUAUUACUAUCUAUCUAUUACUACUACUACUAUAACUGCUAUUACUGAGUGGUUAAGAAUAAAGAACAGCUACAAAGUGAUGCCUCUUUAAGAGAAGUACUUCCCAUAUCUUUUGCUGCUAAUUAACUUGACCUCAACAAGGAUUGUAUGUUCAGCUAGCAAUGUUAGUGUUUGAGUUUGUGCAUUGUUGCAUCAGUG